GACGAACGCUGGCGGCGUGCUUAACACAUGCAAGUCGAACGGAAAGGCUCCAGCUUGCUGGAGUACUCGAGUGGCGAACGGGUGAGUAACACGUGGGUAAUCUGCCCUGCACUCUGGGAUAAGCCUGGGAAACUGGGUCUAAUACUGGAUAUGACCUUUCUCCUUAUGGGGUUUGGUGGAAAGUUUUUCGGUGUAGGAUGAGCCCGCGGCCUAUCAGCUUGUUGGUGGGGUGGUGGCCUACCAAGGCGACGACGGGUAGCCGGCCUGAGAGGGUGAUCGGCCACAUUGGGACUGAGAUACGGCCCAAACUCCUACGGGAGGCAGCAGUGGGGAAUAUUGCACAAUGGGCGGAAGCCUGAUGCAGCGACGCCGCGUGAGGGAUGACGGCCUUCGGGUUGUAAACCUCUUUCAGCAGGGACGAAGCGUAAGUGACGGUACCUGCAGAAGAAGCACCGGCUAACUAUGUG
rnacentral:rRNA from 1 species